UGGGGAAUCUUCCGCAAUGGACGAAAGUCUGACGGAGCAACGCCGCGUGAGUGAUGACGGCCUUCGGGUUGUAAAGCUCUGUUAAUCGGGACGAAAGGUCCUCUUGCGAAUAGUUAGAGGAAUUGACGGUACCGGAAUAGAAAGCCACGGCUAACUACGUGCCAGCAGCCGCGGUAAUACGUAGGUGGCAAGCGUUGUCCGGAAUUAUUGGGCGUAAAGCGCGCGCAGGCGGAUCAGUCAGUCUGUCUUAAAAGUUCGGGGCUUAACCCCGUGAUGGGAUGGAAACNGCACUUUUUUUUAUGGGUGAGGAAAGUGGAAUUCCUAGUGUAGCGGNGAAAUGCGUAGAUAUUAGGAAGAACACCAGUGGCGAAGGCGACUUUCUGGACGAAAACUGACGCUGAGGCGCGAAAGCCAGGGGAGCGAACGGGAUUAGAUACCCCGGUAGUCCUGGCCGUAAACGAUGGGUACUAGGUGUAGGAGGUAUCGACCCCUUCUGUGCCGGAGUUAACGCAAUAAGUACCCCGCCUGGGGAGUACGACCGCAAGGUUG
rnacentral:rRNA from 1 species